GAUGAAGAACGUAGCGAAAUGCGAUAAGUAAUGCGAAUUGCAGAAUUCCAGUGAGUCAUCGAAUCUUUGAACGCACAUUGCGCCCCUCGGCAUUCCGUGGGGCAUGCCUGUUCGAGCGUCAUUACACCCCUCAAGCUCUGCUUGGUGUUGGGCCUCUGUCGCGCCCCUUUCGGCGCAGACUGGCCUCAAAUGCUUCUGGCAGCCUCCCCGCCGGCCCUCUCAGCGCAGCAGUUCGCGCCUGGGAGCCGGCGGGAGCGCCGCCUCCCCCGAAGACCCCCCAUGUUUGACCUCGAAUCAGGUAGGGAUACCCGCUGAACUUAAGCAUAUCAAUAAGCGGAGGA
rnacentral:misc_RNA from 1 species